GGCAGUUCUCGGGUUACACACCCCAGAAUGGACUCCCUCCUCUCAGGUUCUGAGUGCAUCACCUGAGAACCACA
rfam:Myotis lucifugus cont2.57134, whole genome shotgun sequence.